rnacentral:rRNA from 1 species
GAUGAACGCUGGCGGCGUGCCUAAUACAUGCAAGUCGAGCGAACGGACGAGAAGCUUGCUUCUCUGAUGUUAGCGGCGGACGGGUGAGUAACACGUGGAUAACCUACCUAUAAGACUGGGAUAACUUCGGGAAACCGGAGCUAAUACCGGAUAAUAUUUUGAACCGCAUGGUUCAAAAGUGAAAGACGGUCUUGCUGUCACUUAUAGAUGGAUCCGCGCUUCAUUAGCUAGUUGGUAAGGUAACGGCUUACCAAGGCAACGAUGCAUAGCCGACCUGAGAGGGUGAUCGGCAACACUGGAACUGAGACACGGUCCAGACUCCUACGGGAGGCAGCAGUAGGGAAUCUUCCGCAAUGGGCGAAAGCCUGACGGAGCAACGCCGCGUGAGUGAUGAAGGUCUUCGGAUCGUAAAACUCUGUUAUUAGGGAAGAACAUAUGUGUAAGUAACUGUGCACAUCUUGACGGUACCUAAUCAGAAAGCCACGGCUAACUACGUG